rnacentral:lncRNA from 12 species
CUUCUCUGAAAUUCUUUUUGAGGAGUACCUGGGUAGCUCAGUGGUUGAGUACCUUUGGCUCAGAUUGUGAUUCUGGGGUCCUGGGAUCGACCUGCUUCUCCCUCUGCCUAUAUCUCUGCUUCUCUCUCUGUGUCUCUCAUGAAUGAAUAAAUAAGUAAAAUCUUAAAAAAAAAAAAAAAGAAAUUCUUGAGAUCAUAUUCAGUGAUUGAUAGGCACAGAUUACUUGGCAGUUUCAAGUUUGACUUCAUUCUCCUCUGCUUUUCAUCUAGCUCUUCUGACAGCAGAUGUUUGUGAACCUACUACCAACAGGUAAUGAAUUUAUUGCCUCCCAUUCUAGACCGUUAAUUCUGUACCUCCCUCCCUGUCCUAUUCCACUCAUACUGACUCCUUUCCAAAACUGAUCCAAACUAACUAUACAUACAUGAGGAGAGAAGGAAAAGAGAAGUGCUAAACAGUAUAUAUACAAAAAUACUAAAUUACAUCUCUCAGAAAAAGGCAACAGACACAUUAGUUCAAAAGGUGAUUAUGUGACCCAGGUUGAUCUAAUCUCUGUAAAUUCGAAAAACCUGUUUCCCAGUAGGCAGUCUAUGUGCCACUCUUUGUUUCUGACUACUGAAAGGACAAUACUUCCAUCAGAGGACCACCAAUGAUUCCACUCAGUGGCGGUUUAGUCAGUUGGCUGGCCGGUUUGGAAUCUUCCAGAGACAUCAUAUAUAGGCAUAAAGGAGAUUACUGUGGGUUGAGGUGACUUGAUUGUGAUCAUCAAAAAAAUUGUACAGUGAGAGCAGACAGGAGAAAUAAGACGUGAGCCAAGGUGACCUUCUUGUGCCACACACACCUCAUGCAGUCAAGACUAUUCAGUGUCUGCAACCCUCGUCAAUUAAAAUUUGAGUCACUCACUGGGUAGAGCCCCCAACCCACUGAGACGCUGAAGAGAAGGGAACAGAUACAUGGAAAACUAUGUGGUGGAGUCAAGAAAAGACAGACUCUUAAGACCAGUUGCAGGAGUAACAACUUUUGCUACCACCCAUUUUCAUUUUAUGUCCAAUGCAUUUUCCCCCUUGCUUCCCAGUCUUAUAUCAGUCCCGACAGAAGGCACUGCCCUGGCUUGGAAGUCUGGGUCUGGGAAAAUAUGCAGUCAUUUGAUACCAUCACCUUUUCUGAGUUUGCCAAGACAUUUCUUGUUAAAGGUAAGUGCAUCAUAUAUAUGGAAACAGAGUUUUUUUUUUUGUUUUUUUUUUUUUGUUUUUUUUUAG